rnacentral:rRNA from 1 species
GACUCUCGGCAACGGAUAUCUCGGCUCUUGCAUCGAUGAAGAACGUAGCAAAAUGCGAUACUUGGUGUGAAUUGCAGAAUCCCGUGAACCAUCGAAUCUUUGAACGCAAGUUGCGCCCGAAGCCAUUCGGCCGAGGGCACGCCUGCCUGGGUGUCACGCAUCG